CAUUACGGGAACCGUACCAUCUCACCUGGGAAACCACUAAAGGUGGUUGUAGAAGCGGAAAGUGAUGGAGGGAAUUACCAUGUUUUACUGGUCAAUUCUUUCUUUGUCAAUAAUGAUGUUGAUAUUACUUUAAAUGGGUACCCGGACAUCGAUAAACUCAGUCAAAUUUCGGAACACCAGUAUGAACAAACAGGUGUCUCAAUUGGAGUGUACAAUGUUUUGUAGAGCAGUGAAUCAGAUCCCAAUAAUAAUCUGUAUUCCAUGAUCUCUACUUUGUCAAAGUAACAACUCGAAAUCAACAUAUCAGUCGCAGACAGGAGCCAGGUAGUCAACGACCUACCCAACCAUGUUAAAAGAUGAGCAUACAUUUGGAAAUCUGCGCUGCAUUAUGUAAUGAAUGUUUUUCUCUUGAUUACUCUUCUCUAUAAUCUGGAGUCUGUUUUGAGGCAAAAUAUUUAUUUAAAAAAAACAAAUGAAUGUACAUAUUUUAAUUUGUAAUAUUCUUAGCAAUAAUGCUUACUAUGUUUGGGGAAAAAUGUGUAUGUAACUUGCGUCAAAUGCAAAAUAAAAACAAAAUUAAUUAACUUUA